CGCGGCCUAUCAGCUUGUUGGUGAGGUAAUGGCUCACCAAGGCGAUGACGGGUAGCCGGCCUGAGAGGGCGACCGGCCACACUGGGACUGAGACACGGCCCAGACUCCUACGGGAGGCAGCAGUGGGGAAUAUUGCACAAUGGGCGAAAGCCUGAUGCAGCGACGCCGCGUGGGGGAUGACGGCCUUCGGGUUGUAAACCCCUUUCAGUAGGGAAGAAGCGAAAGUGACGGUACCUGCAGAAGAAGCGCCGGCUAACUACGUGCCAGCAGCCGCGGUAAUACGUAGGACGCAAGCGUUGUCCGGAAUUAUUGGGCGUAAAGAGUUCGUAGGUGGCUUGUCGCGUCUGCCGUGAAAACCCGAGGCUCAACCUCGGGCGUGCGGUGGGUACGGGCAGGCUAGAGUGCGGUAGGGGAGACUGGAACUCCUGGUGUAGCGGUGAAAUGCGCAGAUAUCAGGAAGAACACCGAUGGCGAAGGCAGGUCUCUGGGCCAUUACUGACACUGAGGAGCGAAAGCAUGGGUAGCGAACAGGAUUAGAUACCCUGGUAGUCCAUGCCGUAAACGUUGGGCACUAGGUGUGGGGGACAUUCCACGUUCUCCGCGCCGUAGCUAACGCAUUAAGUGCCCCGCCUGGGGAGUACGG
rnacentral:rRNA from 1 species